rnacentral:miRNA from 1 species
GGGUGGAGAAAAAUCCUCUCUCUCUCUCUCUCUCUCUCUCUCUCUCUCUCUCUCUCUUUCACAGAGACACAUACUGUGUGUGAGAGAGAUAGAGGGAGGGAGUGUGAGAGAGAGAAGGUCCAUUUUUCUG